UCCUGGUUAGCUGAGUUGGUAGAGUACUCCACUGGAAAUGGAGAAGUCUCUGGUUUGACACCAGGACCAGGCG
rfam:Ixodes scapularis strain Wikel colony gcontig_1107728971046, whole genome shotgun sequence.